rnacentral:misc_RNA from 1 species
GUAGCAUUAAAGGAGUUCGGUGAUGCACGUCUGAAAACCCACAUACUAACAAUUUUGAAGAGUACACAAUCAAGGAAAAAAUUUAGCUCUUCGUCAAGUUCAGAUACUGGAGAAAAGAAGAAUGGGACAUCAUUUCCAGAUGAGAAUGUGUAUGCACCGGCCGAACUAUUUGGAAUUAUCGCUGAAUGUGAGAGGCAAGCAAGGCCUGGAGAAGCUCUUCUUCUGCAAGCGAAGAAUUUAUGCUGGUCACUUUUGGCUGCAAUUGCUUCUUGUUUUCCAGAUGUCUCUUCGUUGUCUUGCCUGACAGUUUGGCUAGAAAUAACUGCAGCAAGGGAAACAUCAGCCAUCAAAGUUAAUAAUGCUGCUUCCCAGAUUGCAAACAAUGUCGCGGCUGCUGU